rnacentral:rRNA from 1 species
UGGGGAAUUUUGCGCAAUGGGGGAAACCCUGACGCAGCAACGCCGCGUGAGUGAUGAAGGCUUUCGGGUCGUAAAGCUCUGUCAGUGGGGAAGAAAUGUAUUGAGGUUAAUACCCUUGAUACUUGACGGUACCCACAAAGGAAGCACCGGCUAACUCCGUGCCAGCAGCCGCGGUAAUACGGAGGGUGCAAGCGUUGUUCGGAUUUAUUGGGCGUAAAGCGCGUGUAGGCGGUCUUUUAAGUCUGAUGUGAAAGCCCUGGGCUCAACCUGGGAAGUGCAUUGGAUACUGGGAGACUUGAAUACGGGAGAGGGUAGUGGAAUUCCUAGUGUAGGAGUGAAAUCCGUAGAUAUUAGGAGGAACACCGGUGGCGAAGGCGGCUACCUGGACCGAUAUUGACGCUGAGACGCGAAAGCGUGGGGAGCAAACA